rnacentral:rRNA from 1 species
AACAGGAUUAGAUACCCUGGUAGUCCACGCAGUAAACGAUGAUUACUAGCUGUUUGCGAUACACAGUAAGCGGCACAGCGAAAGCGUUAAGUAACCCACCUGGGGAGUACGCCGGCAACGGUGAAACUCAAAGGAAUUGACGGGGGCCCGCACAAGCGGAGGAACAUGUGGUUUAAUUCGAUGAUACGCGAGGAACCUUACCCGGGUUUGAACGCAUUCGGACCGGAGUGGAAACACUUCUUCUAGCAAUAGCCGUUUGCGAGGUGCUGCAUGGUUGUCGUCAGCUCGUGCCGUGAGGUGUCGGCUUAAGUGCCAUAACGAGCGCAACCCUUGCCACUAGUUACUAACAGGUAAAGCUGAGGACUCUGGUGGGACUGCCAGCGUAAGCUGCGAGGAAGGCGGGGAUGACGUCAAAUCAGCACGGCCCUUACAUCCGGGGCGACACACGUGUUACAAUGGCGUGGACAAAGGGAGGCCACCUGGCGACAGGGAGCGAAUCCCCAAACCACGUCUCAGUUCGGAUCGGAGUCUGCAACCCGACUCCGUGAAGCUGGAUUCGCUAGUAAUCGCGCAUCAGCCAUGGCGCGGUGAAUACGUUCCCGGGCCUUGUACACACCGCCCGUCAAGCCAUGGGAGCCGGGGGUACCUGAAGUCCGUAACCGAAAGGAUCGGCCUAGGGUAAAACUGGUGACUGGGGCUAAGUCGUAACAAGGUAGCCGUACCGGAAGGUGCGGCUG